CAAUUUUUUCUUCGUUCUUCUUCCCCAUCUCUUACUUAUUUUAUUCUCUUCCUCUCUUUCUUUAUCUCGUGGAGAUCGUGUCUUUCAAUAAGUUCUUACUCCUUGACUACCUAAUUACAAUUUUCAGAUUUAUAAUUGAUAUUGUGGGUUUGAAGAGAAUAUUGGCGGCGAGAGUAGAGCCGUCACGGGUAUGAUAGCGCUUUUUAAGAGUCAAAGAGAAAGAUGUCUAGCGGUCUUUGAUCUGUAACGAAGAUAGCAUAGUUACACCGGUGCCGUCCAAACUGAUCGAUGUCAGUGUUGCGGCCGUCGUCACAUUGUGUUUGUUGAAAACCCUAAUUUUGAUGGGUUUGUUUUUGUAAAUCGGCCCAACUUGUUAAUAAGACCCAUUUUUUAUUAGUUUGUAAAUGAAAAUGUGUUAAUUGAGCCCACAUUUUUGAGAA